UACGAAGGGGGCUAGCGUUGCUCGGAAUCACUGGGCGUAAAGCGCACGUAGGCGGACUCUUAAGUCGGUGGUGAAAUCCUGGAGCUCAACUCCAGAACUGCCUCCGAUACUGGGAGCCUUCGAGUCCGGGAGAGGUGAGUGGAACUGCGAGUGUAGAGGUGAAAUUCGUAGAUAUUCGCAAGAACACCAGUGGCGAAGGCGGCUCACUGGCCCGGUACUGACGCUGAGGUGCGAAAGCGUGGGGAGCGAACGGG
rnacentral:rRNA from 1 species